rnacentral:rRNA from 1 species
UACGGGGGGGGCAAGCGUUGUUCGGAAUUACUGGGCGUAAAGGGUUUGUAGGUGGCUUGUUAAGUCAGACGUGAAAUCCCUCAGCUUAACUGGGGAACUGCGUCUGAGACUGGUGAGCUUGAGUGCAGGAGAGGAACGCGGAAUUCCAGGUGUAGCGGUGAAAUGCGUAGAUAUCGGGAGGAACACCAGUGGCGAAGGCGACUACCUGGCCUGUUCUUGACGCUGAGGCGCGAAAGCUAGGGGAGCAAACGGG